UUGAACGCUGGCGGCAGGCCUAACACAUGCAAGUCGAGCGGUAGCACAGAGAGCUUGCUCUCGGGUGACGAGCGGCGGACGGGUGAGUAAUGUCUGGGAAACUGCCUGAUGGAGGGGGAUAACUACUGGAAACGGUAGCUAAUACCGCAUAAUGUCGCAAGACCAAAGUGGGGGACCUUCGGGCCUCAUGCCAUCAGAUGUGCCCAGAUGGGAUUAGCUAGUAGGUGGGGUAACGGCUCACCUAGGCGACGAUCCCUAGCUGGUCUGAGAGGAUGACCAGCCACACUGGAACUGAGACACGGUCCAGACUCCUACGGGAGGCAGCAGUGGGGAAUAUUGCACAAUGGGCGCAAGCCUGAUGCAGCCAUGCCGCGUGUGUGAAGAAGGCCUUCGGGUUGUAAAGCACUUUCAGCGGGGAGGAAGGCGUUAAGGUUAAUAACCUUGGCGAUUGACGUUACCCGCAGAAGAAGCACCGGCUAACUCCGUGCCAGCAGCCGCGGUAAUACGGAGGGUGCAAGCGUUAAUCGGAAUUACUGGGCGUAAAGCGCACGCAGGCGGUCUGUCAAGUCGGAUGUGAAAUCCCCGGGCUCAACCUGGGAACUGCAUUCGAAACUGGCAGGCUAGAGUCUUGUAGAGGGGGGUAGAAUUCCAGGUGUAGCGGUGAAAUGCGUAGAGAUCUGGAGGAAUACCGGUGGCGAAGGCGGCCCCCUGGACAAAGACUGACGCUCAGGUGCGAAAGCGUGGGGAGCAAACAGGAUUAGAUACCCUGGUAGUCCACGCCAAAAACGAUUUCGAUUUGGAGGUUGUGCCCUUGAGGCGUGGCUUCCGGAGCUAACGCGUUAAAUCGACCGCCUGGGGAGUACGGCCGCAAGGUUAAAACUCAAAUGAAUUGACGGGGGCCCGCACAAGCGGUGGAGCAUGUGGUUUAAUUCGAUGCAACGCGAAGAACCUUACCUGGUCUUGACAUCCACAGAACUUUCCAGAGAUGGAUUGGUGCCUUCGGGAACUGUGAGACAGGUGCUGCAUGGCUGUCGUCAGCUCGUGUUGUGAAAUGUUGGGUUAAGUCCCGCAACGAGCGCAACCCUUAUCCUUUGUUGCCAGCGGUUCGGCCGGGAACUCAAAGGAGACUGCCAGUGAUAAACUGGAGGAAGGUGGGGAUGACGUCAAGUCAUCAUGGCCCUUACGACCAGGGCUACACACGUGCUACAAUGGCAUAUACAAAGAGAAGCGACCUCGCGAGAGCAAGCGGACCUCAUAAAGUAUGUCGUAGUCCGGAUUGGAGUCUGCAACUCGACUCCAUGAAGUCGGAAUCGCUAGUAAUCGUAGAUCAGAAUGCUACGGUGAAUACGUUCCCGGGCCUUGUACACACCGCCCGUCACACCAUGGGAGUGGGUUGCAAAAGAAGUAGGUAGCUUAACCUUCGGGAGGGCGCUUACCACUUUGUGAUUCAUGACUGGGGUG
rnacentral:rRNA from 1 species